UCUCGCUCCUGCUCGGCGCCACUCGGCCUUCCUCGUAGUAGCACCGAGAGGCUACUGUAAGCAUGGAUCUACCUCACCUAAAACUGGCUCAGGAAGGAAAGACGAGCUGUGGUCGCUGUUAGUGAACCAACACCAGACCUGCAGGAUGAUACCCAGAGAAAGAGCAGGAGGAGGUUUCAAACAGAAAGGAGACUGUACCAGAGGCCACACAACGUUUACCCUCUACACCACCACAUCUGUGCAUGAAGAUCCAUAACAGAAUGGAUCAGAACCGGCUUUCAUCCUUUGGCUCACAUUUCCAUUGAAGAGGGGAGACCGUCUACGAAUAGAGUCUGCAGGGCGAUGAGGACCAGAGGCCCUGUUUGACGUCAUGAGAGGCCAACAGGGAGAAACCCCCCCCCCCCCCACCCUCUCGCCUUCCCACUCAGGUGUUUGUUUUCCUUCAAAUGUUUGAAGAGGAAACAGGUACCAGGUGUCUUCUGAAAACGUCUGUUUCCUGUGGAGUCCAGGAACCAGACGGGCACGGCGCUCACACACCCGUCUCCCUGCUGAUGCUGACACUGACACUUUGAGUUUGACUCAUACAACACUGACGGCCCACAAACCCUCAUUCAGACCAGAUGAAACGGAGUGUGCCAGACUCAGACACAAACACCUUGCCUGGGUAGACCGAGCGGACAAACAUAUACGCAGAUUCUUGUACAGACAAGUGCAAGAACCAGAUGGAAAGACGUGCAGCCUUAUGUUGCAGCUUUUGUGCUUGAGGAGGAAAUUACUUUACUCUUACUUCCAUACUAACACAACAAGUAUACGAGAAGAUAUCAACAUAUCAGCUGUAAUAUGGAUGACUUUGAGAACACACUGAGCCAAGCUAAUAAAGCUGCUGCUUCUUCUUCUUAGAAAAUUCAUGUGAAUCAGUGAAAAUGUCAGUCAUGAUGGUGAUGUCGGGUUUUCAACACCUCUUCUUAUUCCAGAGGCUGCUGGUGGUUUCAGAGUCGCUGCAAUUUGACCUGAAAGGAGAAAAAAAAGGACGAUCAGACAGGAUAUUAUCUAAGUGCAGGUAAUAAAUGUAGCAUAAAGAGAUGGAGAGCGAAGGAAUUUGAGGGGAGGCCGCGGCCGGUGAAGAGCCUUUGAAAGGCGAAGCCAUCAGCGCCCUUCUCUGUGACCGUGCAAGCCACCGAUGACAAGGCCAAGAUGGCAUCUGCUGAUAGGGGCUGCUCAUCAGCACCUUGAUUUCAUGGGCCACAGACGGGGUGAGAAGGGGAGGGGGGUUAGGCAUGUAUGUGUGUGUGUGUGUGUUGUAUGAGUGUGUGUGGGACUGGUUACUAAGGAAAGUAGGGAUACAUCUAUCUGACUUUAACUCAGCCACUUCUCUGCCAGUUGUAUGACAUGUACCGGAAGUCUUGGACACACGUUGUGGCUUCAGAUGAGAACUGUAGGCCAACCAGGUAGUUAGAAUCGCCCUGGUUCUCUCCACUAAAAGCCAAUGGGAUUGUUCCACUGGGUUUUGGAUUAUUGCAGAAAAUAC